UUCAAAAUUAGAAAUAUAAACCAGAUGAUACAACAGAAAAUUACUUGAAUAACUAAUGAUAUCUGCCAUCCACGCAACAGUCAACAAUGAGAGUGGAUUAUCUGCUAGAAUUAUUUCACACCUGGGAGAAAUUAUUUCUAAAAUUACUAUGCAAUAAACAGCUCAUCAAGUGUUACGUUCGUUAAAACGAGAGAUACAACAGACAGCUCUAAGCUUUCAGUGGCAUUAUAUAUAAACGAAUUAUCGAUCUGAUCGAUAUAAGCCAAAAAUUUAAUACUGAUAUGCAAAUGGAACUACUGAAGGCAAUCGGUGGAUGAAUUUAAAAUGUGUUUAACAUGUGGUUUAGCCCAAGAUUAUUAUAUACGCCGACGAAACACCUAGUCUUAACCACAACCCAAGACUGAUUAGAAGCACAUAGCCUGGAACUGACAGUUUCUCCCUCUAACGAUGAGCUUACAACAUGCAUCAGUUUUCUAAAAACGCAACAGAACUUAAAAAAUUUGGCUUAAUAGCUUGAAAAAUCACGAAGUAGGUUUCAGCUGAAAGCAAAGGUCCAUAUGAUUCUAACUCAACAGUAAUCACUGCAGAAAUGGUAAUUACAGGUUUCUGCGAGCGAGAGCUAUAGGGGUAGCCUUCUCAAUUAAGGGACAGUUAACUGAACGAAUUGCCGCUUUUCUCUUUGGACCUUUAUUUCUAUUUUGUUGUGAGCCUACGGCUAAUUUGCCACCCCAAAAACAAAAAGGUUGAGCGUAGAAUCGCCACCCGUUUUCGCACCUUUUGUAUUUCCGAGUUCAUGCAUGUGUGUGUAUAUCUGUCUAUAUGUCACUGCGUGUUUUUGACACGUAAUAAAGUGCAAUCAAAUGCAACCUGUACAAAUUCACACCCAGCAAAGUUUUUUUCAGCAAAUCUUCCAAAGAAUGAAGAAAAGCACCGAUGCUGCGCUAUAAUGCUACCAAAAGAUAAAAUGUACAAAUUACUCGUCUGCCUUCUACUAGUUUGAAAUUAACUAGUACGUAACUAGUUCACACCUGGGCCUUUUUUUUAUAUCUCAGCAACUCCGCAUAGAAACGGAAACGGAAAUUUGUUUCGCAAUUGAUUGAGUUUCUUUUUUGUGGAAAUACUCGUAUUAGCGUCGAGAAUCGAGACUUCUUCUGUGAGGAAAUGAAAAGUGAAAGACAAAAGAGAUUGAUUUAAGAUUAUGAUAAUAGCUGUGUCAAAUAAAUAACAAAUCAUUACAUGUUGUUAGUGAGGCAGAUAAAAUUAAUAUAAAAUCUGAAUAUGUACUUUUCGGACCAGUUGCGAUAUAUAUGUACAGAUUCAAUUUAGAAAUACAGAACUUAGAGCUGACAUCUGAGAAUUACUUCAUUUGUAGAGCGUCAACUUCUUCAAACUGCUAAACGGAUACAUUGGUUAAAUAUAUAGAGAAAACGAUAAGCCGGAAACGCCAC